UACGUAGGCAGCAAGCGUUGUUCGGAAUUACUGGGCGUAAAGAGUGUGUAGGCGGUGCUCUAAGUUCGGUGUGAAAUCUCCCGGCUUAACUGGGAGGGUGCGCCGGAAACUGGAGUGCUCGAGCGUGGGAGAGGAAAGCGGAAUUCCUGGUGUAGCGGUGAAAUGCGUAGAUAUUGGGAAGAACACCGGUGGCGAAGGCGGCUAUCUGGACCGACAUUGACGCUGAGGCGCGAAAGCGUGGGGAGCAAACAGG
rnacentral:rRNA from 1 species